rnacentral:rRNA from 1 species
UACGUAGGGGGCAAGCGUUGUCCGGAUUUAUUGGGCGUAAAGAGCGUGUAGGCGGUUUGGUAGGUCCGCUGUGAAAACUCGAGGCUCAACCUCGAGACGCCGGUGGAAACCAUCAGGCUAGAGUCCGGAAGAGGAGAGUGGAAUUCCUGGUGUAGCGGUGAAAUGCGCAGAUAUCAGGAAGAACACCCCGUGGCUAAGGCGGCUCUCUA